AGAAAGAGGCAGAGGGGCUGGGCCGUGCUGGAGUCCUCUGGGAGGGAGCAACCUCGACCCUGGCUGUGCUGAAAGCUGAUUCCAGCCCUGCCCCUAAUGGCAGCAGUGCACAUGGAGGAGAUGCCUCCUAUGACGCCAAGGCCUCCAGUGCUCACCGAUGCCCUCAUCGAAGUUGGGUAGAACUUGUCAGUGAAGAGGGGCUCAGGCAGCUCAUGGAAGUAGAGCUUCAGCCUGUCUGCGAUGGCAUGUACGCCCAUCUCACUCAUCAUGAUCGACACGUCCCUGUUAUCUGGAAAGAACAUGGAAGUGCUGCAGCCUCCUUGAAGAUCCCAAAGAUGGGGUUUGCUGCAUUGUCCAGACUGGUCUCAAACACCUGGGUUCAGUUAUCCUGCCGUGAGCCUCCACACCCAAACACUUGGGGUAGUUUUAAGCCCCCAGUAAGGUGCACCAGCAGGACCAAGAGGUGGCCUGGGCCUCCCCAACAAUCUCAUCCAUGCAGACCUAAUUUGUUUAUUGUUAUCUGAAAGUCAAAUUUAUUUAUGCAUCCUGUGUUGAUCUGGCAACCCUAUACUAUCUGUAACCCUGUAAUAGGCCCUCUCA